ACUAUCUCUUAAUACAGCUAUCAAUAUUAUUUUAUUAUUUAAGGUAACAGUUAUGAAGUACUUAUUUUGUACCAGAAAUUGUGCUAACUGCUUUGCAUAUAUCGUCUUGUUUAAACUUCAACACAAACCAACAAGAUAGUUACUGUUAUCCACACCCAGUUUACAGCUGAGAAACUGAGGCUUAGAAAGGAUGAGCAACUCCUUUCAAUACCGCUUAGCCAAUGAGUGGUGAAACAAGAUUUUGGACCCAAAGUCCAUGCUUUUAAUCACCGUAUUUUGUCAUUGUAUUCUAUAUUUAAUGUACUAUUAGUUAAUGUCCUAUCACAGUUUAGACUGCAUCUUUUAUUAUGAGGAUUGUUACCCAAACUGAGAUCCUUUUGACAGGAGGAGGAGGCAUGAUUAGGAAUUUUGUUGGGCAUUCACAAGGACUGUCCAAGACAAACAGGGAUAUAUGGCAGUCCUAUUUAAUAUCUUUCCAAUCUACAUCAUGACAUGAUACAUACGUAAGCAAAAAUUACAAACACCAGUUUGUAAUUGUACUUGGGUGUACAAGCUAGAUUGUGUACCACAAACACCUGCAGGGUAGCCAUUGUGAUAUAUAGUGAUGUGUUAAUAGACCUCUAGGACACUAGAAGAAAAUCUAUUUUCCUGGCUUGAAAGGGACCAAUCAAUUGUAUGGGUCCAAAGUGGAGAGAGAAAAAGAGAGAAUAUCAAAACAGCACAAUUCAAUAUUGUUAUACACAGAAUACAAAUCAAAUCAAAAGUUUAAACACACAUAUCAACUGAGGAGUUAGGCAAGAAGUGUAGUUAUGCAGCCAACAUGUAACAAACCCGUCCAGUGGCCUCCUCUGAAACCUACACCAGAAAGACUUAUUCUUUCUGGAGAGUAGUCUUGGUCAGAUAAUUUUUCUUUGUGGGCCUUAUGUGGACCAACAUUUCAGAGAAACCAUGCAGUGGCAGGGCACUAUGGUUGAAGGUGAAAUUGUAUUUUCCUUCUUAUUAUUCUUGUUUCAGAAACACAGAAAAGGACUCUAAAGAGUACUGCUCCUUUCCAGAAGAAGAAGAAAAUUUCACUAUUUCAGGAUCAGGACUGGUAACAUUUGGAAAGCUAAUAUAGGGAAGGGAGAGAGAAAAUGAACUUUAAUAUUCCCAUCCUACAUGUCAGCACUAUGCCAUGACUUACAUGCAUGACCUCUAAGCCUCACAAGAAGUUGACCUAGCCAGCAUUAUUGUCUUGUUUUAAGAUAAAGAAACUAGGGAUGGAAGAGGCCAAGUAAUUGCACAUUAUUAAGUAGAUGCUAUUUGAGUCCAAAGCCACAUUCUUUCCAGGCUCUCCUUUUUGGGAUACCUUAACAUGUUUAAUCCAGUUCAGGGACUCCAAAUUUGAUUUUAUAUUCACAGUUUUAACCGUUGGGUGUUCACAUGUAGCCUGGUAGCACUGUUAUAUCAUCAACAACACAUAGAAGUGCUCCUGAUCGCUGCAUAAAUAUGCAGCACAAUGCCCAAUACAUACAGAUGUUCAAAUAUGCUAUUUUUCUCAAACCAGCAUUCCUCAACCUUUCUGUCACCAGGGACCAGUUUCAUGAAAGACAAUGGAAUGGUAUGGGGUUCAGGGGCAGAGAUGGUUUCGGGCUGAAAGUGUUCAACCUCGCAGAUCAUCAGGCAUUAGAUUCUCAUAAGAAUCAUGCAGCCUAGAUCCCACACAUAUGUAGUUCAUGAUAGGGUUCAUGUUCCUAUGCUGCCACUGAUCUGAUAGGAACCAAGUUCAAAUGAUAAUGCUCAUGCACCUGCCACUCACCUCCUGCUCUUAGGUGAUCCUAACAGGCCACCAAUCAGUA